GGGCAACAGAGCGAGACUCUGUCUCAGAAAAAAGAAAAAAAAGACUCAAGAGCACAUUCUUGGAAGGGAAAUAGAAUUGGCUCAGCUUGAGUCAGGUGACAUGUUUCUGGACCAAUCAGCUGUAGCCAAGGAGGUGGGUCUCAUACGAAGACCAUGAGGACCCCGGGCCCAGCGUGAUGGGACGGUGGGCCUGGCACCCAGUCCCAAAAGCCUUGCUUCCUUCCUUUCUCCUGGAUAACCCACCUCUGCCUGCCACAGACACCCAGAACCCUGCUGCCUCCAUCUUCCCACUCAUGCAGUUAGAUGAGGCCUGAGCUCCAAUCCCACCCCUGCCAUUUCUCCAAGGAUCCGCUCUUGGGCAAGUGACUUCACCUCCCUGGGCCUCAGUCUCCAUUUGUGAAUGGGGCCAUAAUUCCCACCUCUCAGGGGUGUGGGGAGAGUCGGUGACAUAAUGACCCAGGUAAAACUUUCAGCAUCUCCACAUUAUUUUCAGGGGUGAGAAAAAAGAAAUGGCUUGGAGUCUGAGCUUCCUGGGAUGUGCAGAAUUCAUCAGGCUCGGAAAGACGAGAGUGUGGGACCUCAGUCAUGCCGUCACCCCCAGGCCUAGGGGUAGUUAAAGGCAUUUUGUUCCUGACUUGCUGCCUCACCCGCUAUCUUCAUGUUCUGGGAAUUUGUGACACAAAGAACAAUGCCUAGCCAAGCAAUAGUUUCUAUUAUUUUCAUAUAAAUUCUUGGUAAACAGCUUGGGAACUGCCUUUCCUUUUUUCCUUUAAAAACCUACUUGUAACUGCUGCUGAGUGGACUUUAUAUUCAGAGCAGCUUGAGUCCAUACUCUCAGGUUGAAAUCCUCAAGCUUGGCCCAAAUAAACUCUCUACUUAAUUUAACUAAGUAAUUAAGUCAUUUUUUCCUCCGUUGUUUUUUUUUUUUCCUUUAGGUCAACAGGGUCAAGUUCAAACUCAGCGUGUGAACCGGCUGGCACCUGCUUAGCUUUCUAGCCCCACAUCCUCUCACUCUUGGGUGCCCCCUUUCCCUGGCCAUGCCCACCUGCUUGGAGGUCCUUGAACUUCUCUUCUCCAUGCCUUUUUCAAUGUUCUUCCCUCUGCCUGGAAUGCCUUUACCCCUCUUCCCUCUCCUGACCUAGCCGCUUGCUCCCUGCUGGGGGUUCAAUGACGUCUCCCCAGAAUGCCCAUGUCCUAACCCCCAGAACCUGCGGAUGUGACCUCAUUUGGAAAUAGGGACUUUGCAGAUGGGAUGAAGUUAAAGGUCUCAAGAGGAGAUUAUCCUGGACUUAAGAGGGCCCUAAAUCCAAUGACAGGUGUCCUUCAAAGAGAAAUCAGAGGGAAAUCUGGGACACGGAGACAGAGGCAAAGGCCACGGGAAGACGCUGCAGAGAUGGGAGAGGCACAUCCUCAAGGCCGGGAGUACUGAAGUGGCCGGCUGCCAUCGGAAGCCGGGAGAGAGGCGCCGGGCAGAUUCUCCCUCGAAGCCCGGAGAGAGGCACGGGUUGGAUUCUCCCUUAGAGCCUCCGGAAUGACCCAGCCGUGUCAACACCUUGGUUUUGGCUUUCUGGCCUCCAGAACAGUGUGAAUGCAUGACUGUUGUUUCAAACCACUUGGUGUGUGGGCAUUUGUUAACAGCAGCCACAGAAACUCAUACUCAGAAACUUUGCUCAAACGUUGCCUCCUCUGGGAAGGCCGCCCUGACUCCUCAUCUCGACUGGAGGCCCAGAUCCCAGUAUGACCCUCUCCUACCUCUUACCUCGGUGGCCAUGAUCAGCGACGCACCUGUGUGGCUUCACUCCAGAACGUAAACUGAAGGGCGGGAUUCCCUAACGGCUUAGAUUACAGCAGCCUCUCCCAGAGAAGUCCACAGUCUAACAGGCCUCGCAGCUGUCAACAAAAGAUGGUUCUGUAAUGGUGGAACUUCAGGCAGCUCACAGGGGCCUGCAGGAAGGAUGUUUUGGGGGCUGGGCUCCUUUUCACUCAGGCUCCUACUCCAGGUGUCUGCACGGGAAGAACCUCUGUGGGGGCUGUAAGAUCAGAGCCAAGUCUUGAACCCCAUCAGCCCAGGGCCACAGCCCCUCGCCACUCCUUCACACGGCUCAUCACGUGGCCCCAUCUGCCCCGACUGGUUCCCGCUGGGUUUCUGUCAUCGUCACCAAAGUGCAGUGGUCAUCCAGCCUCUCAGCGCCUUUGAGUCCCUGGCUGGGGUCUUCAGUGACCCUUCUGUGUUUCUUUGCCUCCCAGCCUUGUAAGUUUCCUGACCGUUUUCACACCCUCAUCUCAUCUGGUCCUAUGGAAGGCACGGCAGAUGUUACCCCCCGUUUCAAAGCAGUGGAAACUGAGGAUCAGGGUGGCUAAGCUCUUUGUCCAGGGAUACGCAGCUAAGGACCAGUAGGGCCACCAUGGAACUCAGCUCCAGUCCAGAGCACUCCAACAACCUGAGGCAGCCGGGUGUCUGCUCAGAUUUCAGCUCAGGAGAGAGACACUGUCAUCUGUCUCCAAAACAGUCAGGUCCAAGGGAGGAUCUCAAGGGGAAACUGUACUAGGUUCAAAGCCAAAAACAUACAGCUGCUUCCCAGACCAGACGGGCCAGGCACACACCAUCUGCCUGCGAUCACUGAUCCAUCUGUGUCUCUCCUCCCGUGCAGGGAGGAAGCAGGAAAGGCCAGGGAGGAGGGAAGGGAGGCUCUUUAGCCAUCCCAGGGGCAGCAUGAUGAAGGGGAGAGCCCCUGGGAAUCAGCAGGCCAUGGUUCAAAUCCCUGCUUCUCCAUGUACUGUGUCCCACUAGACUAUAGGCAGCAGGGGCGGUUUCUAGGCUGUUCCAGGCUGGAACAGCGACAGGCAGCAGACACCACAACUCAUGUGCAACUUUAUACACAAUUAAAAGAAAAAGCACAACUAACCAGUCUGAUAUUAUAAUGCUUUCACCUUAAAAAAUAUUAGAGUUAAUUUUUUUAAUUUAAACUUUUUGUGGGUACAUGUGGAAACAAAAUGAGUUCACUGUAGGGGUAUGGAUUUGUUUCCGGGUUCUCUAUUCUGUUCCAUUGGUCUAUGUGUCUAUUUUUAUGCUAGUACCACGUUGUUUUGGUUACUAUGGCUCUGUAGUAUGAUAUGAAGUCAGGUAAAGUGAUUCUUCC
rnacentral:lncRNA from 1 species